rnacentral:rRNA from 1 species
CAAGAGCGUAUAUUAAAGUUGCUGCGGUUAAAAAGCUCGUAGUGGGAUUUCAGUCUGGGAAGGUUAACUCGCCGAAAGGUUGUACGUUGAUUUUCCUCAGACUCCGUCAGAAGCUCGUGCUGCACUUAACUUUGUGGUACAAUGUUCUGACCAUUUACCUUGAGGAAAGUAGUGUGUUUCAGGCAGGCUACCCAGCUGGAAUACAUCAGCAUGGAAUAAUGAAAUGGAUUUCGGUUCGAUUUCGUUGGUUCUAGAGCUGACGUGAUGAUCAAUAAGAACAGGCGAAGGUAUUCGUACUUGAGAGUGAGGAGUGAAAUCCGAUGAUCUCUUAAAGACGAUCCGAGGCGAAAGCAUGUGUCAAGGAUGUUUUCAUUGA